rnacentral:SRP_RNA from 1 species
UGUUGGGCCUCACGCAACGAGGCCUUGCGAACCCCGUCAGAUCCGGAAGGAAGCAGCGGUAGCAAGUUCCCCUGGGUGCUGUGAGAUACCCAGCAAUU